AAACUACCGAUAAUAAUGGUAUUAAGAAAAAACCUACAGAAAAUGUCUCGAUUUAGUGAUUGGAAUUUGGAUUGCAAAGUUUAUAUUGGUAGUCUCGGCAGCAGGGCUACCAAAGAUGACAUUGAAGAAGUAUUUGGGAAAUUUGGACCUCUUCGAAAUGUUUGGAUUGCUCGCAACCCACCAGGAUUUGCUUUCGUUGAAUUUGAAGAUAGACGCGAUGCUGAAGAAGCUGUGGCUGAACUUGAUGGAUCACGCCUGUGUGGAUCGCGAAUACGAGUGGAAAUGUCCCAUGGGAAGACUCGUAGUGAUAGAAGACGAGAAGAUAGAAGGAAACCAUCUCCACCAUAUCGGAUAAUUCAUCAAUUUCAACGCUUCGCAAGUCUUCUUGCAGCAAAAUGCAUCACUGCAUGCAAUCAAGUGACACAAUUUUCAAAAUUGGUUACUUAGAAUUUCAUCGAAGAAUCUAACCUGAGUUCUACAUCUGCAACCACUUCUGAAACUUACAUUAGCUGAUUGAUUUGUCUGCAUUCCUCAAUGAAUACCUGUUGCUCAUCUCUAACAUCUUGCCGAGUCAACAAGCUAACUAGUCAUUACAUCUGCUAUUGGGGACAGGAUUACCGCGACACCUACCUACGAUAAUAUAUUCCUCGACCACCACUGCACUGCUAUCUCAUACUUCCCUCCACCCACAAUCCUUCAUCACUUACACCCCGAAUCAACAUGCCAGGAAAAUUCGAAUCGGCGAAGAUAUUCAAGAAGCAGAAGUAGGAGUAAUAGUCCACGUUAUAAUCGUCGUUCGAGACGAGAGAGGUCAUAUUCCAGAGAGAGAAGAUAAAAGUUGAAGAUGAUAAAUUCUCACUGGGUAAACAUUAAUUCUUUCAUAAGGACUGCUGAUAAACAAGGAAUGAUUUCAUCUUGCUUUUUCUGUUUGAAUCUUCUGUAACAAAAAACAUGAUGUAUAUAUUCAUUCUUAUGUAUUUUAAUAAACAUUAGUUAUCUUGUA